ACCCGGGGGGGCAGGCUACACAUGCAAGUCGAGCGGUAGAGAGAAGCUUGCUUCUCUUGAGAGCGGCGGACGGGUGAGUAAUGCCUAGGAAUCUGCCUGGUAGUGGGGGAUAACGUUCGGAAACGGACGCUAAUACCGCAUACGUCCUACGGGAGAAAGCAGGGGACCUUCGGGCCUUGCGCUAUCAGAUGAGCCUAGGUCGGAUUAGCUAGUUGGUGAGGUAAUGGCUCACCAAGGCGACGAUCCGUAACUGGUCUGAGAGGAUGAUCAGUCACACUGGAACUGAGACACGGUCCAGACUCCUACGGGAGGCAGCAGUGGGGAAUAUUGGACAAUGGGCGAAAGCCUGAUCCAGCCAUGCCGCGUGUGUGAAGAAGGUCUUCGGAUUGUAAAGCACUUUAAGUUGGGAGGAAGGGUUGUAGAUUAAUACUCUGCAAUUUUGACGUUACCGACAGAAUAAGCACCGGCUAACUCUGUGCCAGCAGCCGCGGUAAUACAGAGGGUGCAAGCGUUAAUCGGAAUUACUGGGCGUAAAGCGCGCGUAGGUGGUUUGUUAAGUUGGAUGUGAAAUCCCCGGGCUCAACCUGGGAACUGCAUUCAAAACUGACUGACUAGAGUAUGGUAGAGGGUGGUGGAAUUUCCUGUGUAGCGGUGAAAUGCGUAGAUAUAGGAAGGAACACCAGUGGCGAAGGCGACCACCUGGACUAAUACUGACACUGAGGUGCGAAAGCGUGGGGAGCAAACAGGAUUAGAUACCCUGGUAGUCCACGCCGUAACGAUGUCAACUAGCCGUUGGAAGCCUUGAGCUUUUAGUGGCGCAGCUAACGCAUUAAGUUGACCGCCUGGGGAGUACGGCCGCAAGGUUAAAACUCAAAUGAAUUGACGGGGGCCCGCACAAGCGGUGGAGCAUGUGGUUUAUUCGAAGCAACGCGAAGAACCUUACCAGGCCUUGACAUCCAAUGAACU
rnacentral:rRNA from 1 species